UGGGGAAUCUUGCACAAUGGAGGAAACUCUGAUGCAGCGACGCCGCGUGAGCGAAGAAGGCUUUCGGGGUGUAAAGCUCUUACGCCAGGGACGAUAAUGACGGUACCGGGAGAAGAGGCUGCGGCUAACUACGUGCCAGCAGCCGCGGUAAUACGUAGGCAGCAAGCGUUGUUCGGAGUUACUGGGCGUAAAGAGUGCGUAGGCGGUUUUCUAAGUUCGGUGUGAAAUCUCCCGGCUUAACUGGGAGGGUGCGCCGAAGACUGGGAAGCGUGAGUGUGGGAAAGGCAGGCGGAACUCCUGGUGUAGCGGUGAAAGGCGUAGAGAUCAGGAGGAACACCGGCGGUGUAGACGGCUUGCUAGACCAUAACUGACGCUGAGGCACGAAAGCGUGGGUAGCAAACA
rnacentral:rRNA from 1 species